rnacentral:rRNA from 1 species
CUAACCUGCCCACUGAUUUAUUAAAGGGCCGCGGUAUACUGACUGUGCAAAGGUAGCAUAAUCAUUUGUCUUUUAAUUGAAGGCUGGAAUGAAUGGUUGAAUGAAGUAUUAACUGUCUCAUUUUAAAAAAAAUAAAAAUUUAAUUUUUUAGUCAAAAAGCUAAAAUAAAUUUAGAGGACGAGAAGACCCUAUAGAUCUUUAUAAUAAAAUUUAAUAGAAAAUUUUAGAUUUAUAAAAAAUUUAUUAAAUUGAAUUAUUUGGUUGGGGUGACAGGAAAAUUUAAUAAACUAUUUUUAUAUAUAAACAAUGAUUUUUGAAUAUUUGAUCCAAUUUUAUUGAUUAAAAAAUUAAGUUACCUUAGGGAUAACAGCGUAAUUUUUUUAGAGAGUUCUUAUCGAUAAAAAAGAUUGCGACCUCGAUGUUGAAUUAAAGAU